UUUCUUGAGAAAGGACUCAACAGUGACUGGCCCAUGUGGGGCACAAGUGGGGGUGGUUCCAGAACUCAGCUUCAGCCAGCUUGAGCCCUCAGUGCAGUGUAGUGGGAUAGAUGGUACCCCUCACCACCCCCUCGCCCUGUGAGGAUAAUGAGCUUAGUUUGGAUGGUUUCCUAAGUGCAGCUGACCCACUUAGUUCCGUGUGCAUGUGGAGAGCAGAGGUCUCCAGAGUGACCAGCUUUAGGUUCUCAGGCAGCGGGGCUAAUACUGGAAAGGGUUUGGGGAAAAGGACAGUGGGCCUCACAGAAGCCAUAACCAAGUGGAAGGAUC
rnacentral:lncRNA from 1 species